UACGGGGGGGGCAAGCGUUGUUCGGAAUUACUGGGCGUAAAGGGCUCGUAGGCGGCCAACUAAGUCAGACGUGAAAUCCCUCGGCUUAACCGGGGAACUGCGUCUGAUACUGGAUGGCUUGAGAUUGGGAGAGGGAUGCGGAAUUCCAGGUGUAGCGGUGAAAUGCGUAGAUAUCUGGAGGAACACCGGUGGCGAAGGCGGCAUCCUGGACCAACACUGACGCUGAGUGCGCGAAAGCUAGGGGAGCAAACGGG
rnacentral:rRNA from 1 species